ACCAACUAGAACCCCUGGGGCCCCCUAGGAUGCCAAUGCCACAGGUGGGGGCGGGGGUAAGGCAAGGCCUCAAUGGAAGACAGCCCCUCCAGCGCUGCAGUCCCCUUAGUGGGUGGAAGUCUCCAUGGCUGGCCUUUGCAAAGCCUCGGGCCCUCAGGGCCUCCAGUCCUCACACCCACACCAGCCAGAGGAGGGAGCCCCCUGGACCCUGCUUCUCUCUGCACUGUGCCUCCUUAAAUUCCCUGGGGAGGAAAAAAAAAGAAGCAAGCAGAUUUUCCUUGGAGGAAAAACUGAGUGUUUAGGCUUCUUAUUGAGAAACUGUUCAUCAGCUAGGGUUUGGGCAAGUGGGGUUCUGGGAUUCGGGGCAGGGGUGUGGGGACACUCCAUCUUUGGUGGAGGUCCCCUCUGCACAGGUUUCUGGCUUCCUGUCUCAGACCAGCAAGGGGGUGGGAUGUAGGCCAUCUAGCUCAGACCCCCUGGAGGGGAGACAGAUUGUGCCUCCCCUGAUGCCCUGGAUCCCCGCCCUAUUGCUGGGUCCUCUGAGGCCCAGACACUGCUGGUCUGUGUUGCCCCUGCUCCACCCCAGGCUGAGUGAGGCCAGGCCCUCAGGCUCCAGCAUGGCCCUGCAAGACCACUGCUGCACCCCUGCGGCUGUGCAGAGGAGGCUGCCCAUCCUGGCCUGGCUGUUGGACUCUGAAGAUGGACUUCAUCACUGGACUUUCAGUGGGGCUCAAGGUCAUUCCCCACGCGCUGGCCUGUGCUGAGGUGACCUGACUCCUGCCCCAGGUGGUACCUGUGGCCCCACUUGGGUGCGGGUAGAAAAGAGGUCCCCUCAUCACAGCAGGUCACACUCAUGGAUGAUCGAGGUGUGGCUUCUACUCUGCCUUCAUGGGUGCUUCGUGUAGUUCUUCCUGGUCACCUUCUGGCAUGUUACCCUGAGCCCGCCUAUGCUGUGCUGCUGGCUUUCCUGUGGGCUGCAUGCAGUUAGCCAUGGGGUCCCUGUGCUUGGGGUUCCUGCUGGACUUCGUCUCCUGUGCCAUCAUUAAAGGUUUCACCUCUGCUGCUACCAUCACCGUGGACUUCGGGCAGAUCCAGGCUGGCCUGUGCAGUCUUCCCUGAUGGAGGGCAGUGAGCAGAUCAAGGCCAGGAGGAGGCGUGUGUGAGAAUCCAGCAGCUGACAUGUCUUCCCUCUCACUCUGUUCUGGGGCUGGAUCCACACUUUCCCUGUGCUUCCUUCUCGCCACACCCCUGGGAGGGAGGUUUAUCAUCAUCUGCAUUUAGAGAGGAGGAAACCCCUUAGAAAGUUUGAUCCUGAAGGCAUCUGUCACUUCUGGAAUCCACUACAACGACGAGGAGGAGAGUCACUUCAAUGCCUAUGAAAUGGAACCUUCAGGAGUUUUUAGUUAUAAAUCUUGGAAUCUGGAAGAUUCAAUUCAUGAUUGCAAAAUAUUUAUUUCCUAAUAUUUUGUUUUGUCAUAAACUGAUGCUUUUGAAAGAGA